CAACACUCCUGAAUGAAGAUCACAACAGAGAGUGGAGAUGCAAUGUUACUCACAGAGAUCAAGUCAAGAGCUCAGUCACAUACACUGUCAAGAGUUCAGCUCAAACUAAAACAACGACAGCAGUGAUUCCAGUCCACAGCACAAACUCUCAGGAUCCCUCGACUACAAACACACACAGAACUAAAGCUCAAGCUGAUUCAACGACAGCAGUAACUUCUACACAAGGUACAGUCAAAUGAACUUUCUCUGUCGUUAUACUGAAUCCUCUCGUGUCCAGAUUAAGAAAUGCAUGUAAUC
rnacentral:lncRNA from 1 species